rnacentral:ncRNA from 1 species
AUAAAAUAUGAUAUAAGUUUGAUAAUUAGUUAUUUAAUAUUAUUAUAUAAAAAAUUUUUUAUAAAAUAUAUAAAAUUUUAAAAAUUUUAUAAAUUAAAAGAAAAUUAAUAUUUAAAUUUAUUUUAAUAAUUAGGGUUAUUUUUAGAAAUUUAUUUAAAUAUGGAUAAAAUUAGUGCCAGCAAUUGCGGUUAAACUAAACAUAUAAAUUAAUUGGGUGAAUAUGAAAAUUAUAAAUUAAAUGGGGGUUAUAAUAAAUUUUUUAUUUUUUUGGUGGAAUAAAAAAAAAAUAAAUAUUUUAUUAUUUUUAAAUUUUAAAAUUUUUAUAAAUUAAUUUAUUAAACUAGGAUUAGAUACCCUAUUAUUUAAAUGAAAUUAUAAAAUAUUUGAUUAUUAAAUGUUGAAUCAUUAAAAUUAUUAAAUUUGGCGGUUUUUUAUUCUCAUUAGAGGAACUUGUAGUGUAAUUGAUGAUCCACGAUAGGAUUUACUAAUUUUUGUAUAUUUAUGUAUUGUUGUUUAAAGAUUUUAAUUAAAAUUUUAUAAUUUAAAUAUUUAAUAUUUUUUUUUAAAAAUUUUGAGAAUAGAAAUUCAAAUCAAAAUGUAGUAUAAAUUAGAAUUUUAUGAGUUACAAUUAAUUAAAUUUGAGGAUAAAAAUUUUAAUAUUUUAUUGAAAAUGGAUUUAAAAGUAAAUUUUUAUAAUUAUUAAAUUUGAAAUGAGUUUUAAAAAAUGUACAAAUUGCCCGUCAAUUUCAUUAGUAAUGAAGUAAGUCGUAACAAAGUAAAGGUACUGGAAAGUGUUUUUAGAAUG